UCUCCGUUGGUGAACCAGCGGAGGGAUCAUUACCAAUAAUUCACAACACCCAACCCUAAAAUACAGUACCCAUUCUGGUCUCAUGUCUUCCGGCCUGUUUAACAUUUCGCCCCCAAACGAACGCUUCUCCCCCAGCCCCGGGAGGCGCGGUCACGACGCACCUUAUUAUCUAACCCUUCAGCAUCAACAAAAUUGAACAAAAAACAAAAUCAAAACAAUUUACAACAUAAAUAUUACUUUCAACAACGGAUAUCUUGGCACCCGAAUCGAUGAACAACC
rnacentral:misc_RNA from 1 species